rnacentral:rRNA from 1 species
ACGGGAGGCAGCAGUGAGGAAUAUUGCACAAUGGGCGAAAGCCUGAUGCAGCGACGCCGCGUGAGCGAAGAAGUAUUUCGGUAUGUAAAGCUCUAUCAGCAGGGAAGAAAAAAAUGACGGUACCUGACUAAGAAGCACCGGCUAAAUACGUGCCAGCAGCCGCGGUAAUACGGAGGAUGCAAGCGUUAUCCGGAUUUAUUGGGUUUAAAGGGUGCGUAGGCUGUGCGACAAGUCAGGGGUGAAAGCCCGCCGCCCAACGGUGGAACUGCCUUUGAUACUGUCGCGCUGGAAUACGGAUGCCGUGGGAGGAAUGAGUAGUGUAGCGGUGAAAUGCAUAGAUAUUACUCAGAACACCGAUUGCGAAGGCAUCUCACGAAUCCGUCAUUGACGCUGAGGCACGAGAGCAUGGGGAUCAAACAGGAUUAGAUACCCUGGUA